rnacentral:rRNA from 1 species
GACGAACGCUGGCGGCGCGCUUAAUACAUGCAAGUCGGGCGAGAACCAGAGCUUCGGCUCUGGGGACAGCGGCGAACGGGUGAGUAUCACGUGAGUAAUCUGCCCUCGGCACCGGGAUAGCCCGGGGAAACCCGGAUUAAUACCGGAUGGCCUCUCGAGCCCUCGGGCUCGUGAGAAAAGGUAGCUUCGGCCUCCGGCCGGGGAGGAGCUCGCGGCGGAUUAGCUUGUUGGUGGGGUAACGGCUCACCAAGGCGACGAUCCGUAGCUGGUCUGAGAGGACGAUCAGCCACACUGGGACGGAGACACGGCCCAGACUCCUACGGGGGGCAGCAGUAGGGAAUCUUGCGCAAUGGGCGAAAGCCUGACGCAGCGACGCCGCGUGCGGGAAGAAGGCCUUCGGGUUGUAAACCGCUUUCAGGAGGGACGAAGCCACUCGGGUUAAUAGCCCAGAGGGUGACGGUACCUCCAGAAGAAGCCCCGGCUAACUACGUGCCAGCAGCCGCCGUAAGAC